ACUACGGGUGGCAGCAGUGGGGAAUAUUGCACAAUGGGGGAAACCCUGAUGCAGCAACGCCGCGUGAGUGAAGAAGUAUUUCGGUAUGUAAAGCUCUAUCAGCAGGGAAGAAGAUGACGGUACCUGAGUAAGAAGCCCCGGCUUACUACGUGCCAGCAGCCGCGGUAAUUCGGAGGGGGCAAGCGUUAUCCGGAUUGACUGGGUGUAAAGGGAGCGUAGACGGUGAGACAAGUAGGAAGGGAAAGCGCGGGUGUCAACCCCGGGAGUGCUGUGGAAACUGCCUGACUUGAGUGCUGGAGAGGCAAGCGGAAUGCGUGGUGUAGCGGUGAAAUGCGUAGAUAUUAGGCAGAACUCCGGUGGCGAAGGCGGCUUGCCGGACAGUAACUGACGUUGAGGCUCGAAAGCGUGGGGAGCAAACAGGAUUAGAUACCCGGGUAGUC
rnacentral:rRNA from 1 species